rnacentral:rRNA from 1 species
GACAGAGGGUGCAAACGUUGCUCGGAAUUACUGGGCGUAAAGGGCGUGUAGGCGGGCAGGUAAGUCGGGCGUGAAAUCCCUGGGCUCAACCCAGGAACUGCACUCGAAACUACUUGUCUUGAGUACCGGAGAGGAAAGCGGAAUUCCUGGGUGUAGAGGUGAAAUGCGCAGAUAUCAGGAGGAACACCGAUUGCGAAGGCAGCUCGCUGGAACGUAACUGACGCUGAGACGCGAAAGCGUGGGGAGCAAACAGG